GAUGAACGCUAGCGGCAGGCUUAACACAUGCAAGUCGAGGGGCAGCACGUCUUCGGAUGGUGGCGACCGGCGCACGGGUGCGUAACGCGUAUAGAACCUACCUUUUACAGGGGAAUAGCCCAGAGAAAUUUGGAUUAAUGCCCCAUAGUAUUAUUAGAUGGCAUCAUUUGAUAAUUAAACAUUUAUGGGUAAAAGAUGGCUAUGCGUUCUAUUAGCUAGAUGGUAAGGUAACGGCUUACCAUGGCGACGAUAGAUAGGGGUCCUGAGAGGGAGAUCCCCCACACUGGUACUGAGACACGGACCAGACUCCUACGGGAGGCAGCAGUGAGGAAUAUUGGACAAUGGGCGAGAGCCUGAUCCAGCCAUGCCGCGUGCAGGAAGACGGUCCUAUGGAUUGUAAACUGCUUUUAUACAGGAAGAAACACUCCCUCGUGAGGGAAUUUGACGGUACUGUAUGAAUAAGCACCGGCUAACUCCGUGCCAGCAGCCG
rnacentral:rRNA from 1 species